GUGCUCACUUCAAAAGCACAUAUACUAAAAUUGGAAUGAUACAAAGAAGAUUAGCAUAGCCCCAGCACAAGGAUGAUAUGCAAAUUCAUGAGGCAUUCCAAAUAAAU
ensembl:snRNA U6 U6 spliceosomal RNA